UACGGAGGGUGCAAGCGUUAUCCGGAUUCACUGGGUUUAAAGGGUGCGUAGGUGGGUUUGUAAGUCAGUGGUGAAAUCUCCAAGCUUAACUUGGAAACUGCCGUUGAUACUAUAAAUCUUGAAUGUUGUGGAGGUGAGCGGAAUAUGUCAUGUAGCGGUGAAAUGCUUAGAUAUGACACAGAACACCGAUUGCGAAGGCAGCUCACUAAAUUGUAACUGACGCUGAGGCACGAAAGCGUGGGGAUCAAACAGG
rnacentral:rRNA from 1 species